ensembl:lncRNA
CUUGGAUGAGUGACGAAACAUUUCUCCCACAAAACGCUACGUCCAGAUGAACAGAUUCAACUUUUGGAGAUUUACUUUCCUGGAUGAUUGAGAAUGCAUCAAGAUGACUCAUGGAUUGUCUAAAGUCUUAGAAAACAGGAUGCCAUUAUAAAGAUCUGAGACACUGGCUUAUGUGAUCCACUGUCCUGUCCUUGGUGAGAAUGCUGCCACAGCUCAACACUGGACUUUUGGCUCGUUACAGGCACAUGUGCAGAAGCUUGAGAGCAUACCUCCACCUAUGCACCCACUACAGAGUGACAAUCAUACUGGCGUGUGUCAUAAACUAUAAUUCCCCAGUGAAGAGCAAAAAUAACACAAAAGUGUUUUUGUUUGAGUUAGAAAUUAAAUUAAAUUGAACCUGUCGACGGUCAGGGGGGCAUCGACUUCUGCUGUUGAUGCCAGUAGUUUAUGGACCAGUACUUGUGUAAUAACUUGAAUAAUAAUAACUUGAAACAAGCAAAGGCGCAGGG